UACGUAGGGUGCGAGCGUUUGUCCGGAAUUAUUGGGCGUAAAGAGCUCGUAGGCGGUCUGUCGCGUCUGCUGUGAAAACUCAGGGCUUAACCCUGAGCUUGCAGUGGGUACGGGCAGACUAGAGUGCGGUAGGGGGAGACUGGAAUUCCUGGUGUAGCGGUGAAAUGCGCAGAUAUCAGGAGGGAACACCGGUGGCGAAGGCGGGGUCUCUGGGGCCGAUACUGACGCUGGAGGAGCGAAAGCGUGGGGAGCGAACAGG
rnacentral:rRNA from 1 species